UCGAACGAACUCUGGUAUUGAUUGGUGCUUGCAUCAUGAUUUACAUUUGAGUGAGUGGCGAACUGGUGAGUAACACGUGGGAAACCUGCCCAGAAGCGGGGGAUAACACCUGGAAACAGAUGCUAAUACCGCAUAACAACUUGGACCGCAUGGUCCGAGUUUGAAAGAUGGCUUCGGCUAUCACUUUUGGAUGGUCCCGCGGCGUAUUAGCUAGAUGGUGGGGUAACGGCUCACCAUGGCAAUGAUACGUAGCCGACCUGAGAGGGUAAUCGGCCACAUUGGGACUGAGACACGGCCCAAACUCCUACGGGAGGCAGCAGUAGGGAAUCUUCCACAAUGGACGAAAGUCUGAUGGAGCAACGCCGCGUGAGUGAAGAAGGGUUUCGGCUCGUAAAACUCUGUUGUUAAAGAAGAACAUAUCUGAGAGUAACUGUUCAGGUAUUGACGGUAUUUAACCAGAAAGCCACGGCUAACUACGUGCCAGCAGCCGCGGUAAUACGUAGGUGGCAAGCGUUGUCCGGAUUUAUUGGGCGUAAAGCGAGCGCAGGCGGUUUUUUAAGUCUGAUGUGAAAGCCUUCGGCUCAACCGAAGAAGUGCAUCGGAAACUGGGAAACUUGAGUGCAGAAGAGGACAGUGGAACUCCAUGUGUAGCGGUGAAAUGCGUAGAUAUAUGGAAGAACACCAGUGGCGAAGGCGGCUGUCUGGUCUGUAACUGACGCUGAGGCUCGAAAGUAUGGGUAGCAAACAGGAUUAGAUACCCUGGUAGUCCAUACCGUAAACGAUGAAUGCUAAGUGUUGGAGGGUUUCCGCCCUUCAGUGCUGCAGCUAACGCAUUAAGCAUUCCGCCUGGGGAGUACGGCCGCAAGGCUGAAACUCAAAGGAAUUGACGGGGGCCCGCACAAGCGGUGGAGCAUGUGGUUUAAUUCGAAGCUACGCGAAGAACCUUACCAGGUCUUGACAUACUAUGCAAAUCUAAGAGAUUAGACGUUCCCUUCGGGGACAUGGAUACAGGUGGUGCAUGGUUGUCGUCAGCUCGUGUCGUGAGAUGUUGGGUUAAGUCCCGCAACGAGCGCAACCCUUAUUAUCAGUUGCCAGCAUUAAGUUGGGCACUCUGGUGAGACUGCCGGUGACAAACCGGAGGAAGGUGGGGAUGACGUCAAAUCAUCAUGCCCCUUAUGACCUGGGCUACACACGUGCUACAAUGGAUGGUACAACGAGUUGCGAACUCGCGAGAGUAAGCUAAUCUCUUAAAGCCAUUCUCAGUUCGGAUUGUAGGCUGCAACUCGCCUACAUGAAGUCGGAAUCGCUAGUAAUCGCGGAUCAGCAUGCCGCGGUGAAUACGUUCCCGGGCCUUGUACACACCGCCCGUCACACCAUGAGAGUUUGUAACACCCAAAGUCGGUGGG
rnacentral:rRNA from 2 species